GACGAACGCUGGCGGCGUGCUUAACACAUGCAAGUCGAACGCUGAAGCACCAGCUUGCUGGUGUGGAUGAGUGGCGAACGGGUGAGUAAUACGUGAGUAACCUGCCCUUGACUCUGGGAUAAGCCCGGGAAACUGGGUCUAAUACUGGAUGCUACAUGUCACCGCAUGGUGGUGUGUGGAAAGGGUUUACUGGUCUUGGAUGGGCUCACGGCCUAUCAGCUUGUUGGUGAGGUAAUGGCUCAUCAAGGCGACGACGGGUAGCCGGCCUGAGAGGGUGACCGGCCACACUGGGACUGAGACACGGCCCAGACUCCUACGGGAGGCAGCAGUGGGGAAUAUUGCACAAUGGGCGAAAGCCUGAUGCAGCGACGCCGCGUGAGGGAUGACGGCCUUCGGGUUGUAAACCUCUUUCAGCAGGGAAGAAGCCACAAGUGACGGUACCUGCAGAAGAAGCGCCGGCUAACUACGUG
rnacentral:rRNA from 1 species